GGGUUGUGAGGUUAAGCGACUAAGCGUACACGGUGGAUGCCCUGGCAGUCAGAGGCGAUGAAGGGCGUGCUAAUCUGCGAUAAGCGCCGGUAAGGUGAUAUGAACCGUUAUAACCGGCGAUACCCGAAUGGGGAAACCCAGUGUGAUUCGUCACACUAUCAUUAACUGAAUCCAUAGGUUAAUGAGGCGAACCGGGGGAACUGAAACAUCUAAGUACCCCGAGGAAAAGAAAUCAACCGAGAUUCCCCCAGUAGCGGCGAGCGAACGGGGAGGAGCCCAGAGCCUGAAUCAGCAUGUGUGUUAGUGGAAGCGUCUGGAAAGGCGCGCGAUACAGGGUGACAGCCCCGUACACAAAAGCGCAUAUGCUGUGAGCUCGAUGAGUAGGGCGGGACACGUGGUAUCCUGUCUGAAUAUGGGGGGACCAUCCUCCAAGGCUAAAUACUCCUGACUGACCGAUAGUGAACCAGUACCGUGAGGGAAAGGCGAAAAGAACCCCGGCGAGGGGAGUGAAAAAGAACCUGAAACCGUGUACGUACAAGCAGUGGGAGCCCCACCACUAAGCCAGUGGUGAACUCCACAUACGCAUCCUUUGCUGAGGAGACGGUUAACGGAGCGAAAGCGACGUUCAACCUCAAAAGAAGCAGAGGGGGCUUAGUGGUGGGGUGACUGCGUACCUUUUGUAUAAUGGGUCAGCGACUUAUAUUCUGUAGCAAGGUUAACUGUAUAGGGGAGCCGGAGGGAAACCGAGUCUUAACCGGGCGUUAAGUUGCAGGGUAUAGACCCGAAACCCGGUGAUCUAGCCAUGGGCAGGUUGAAGGUUGGGUAACACUAACUGGAGGACCGAACCGACUAAUGUUGAAAAAUUAGCGGAUGACCUGUGGCUGGGGGUGAAAGGCCAAUCAAACCGGGAGAUAGCUGGUUCUCCCCGAAAGCUAUUUAGGUAGCGCCUCGUGAAUUCAUCUCCGGGGGUAGAGCACUGUUUCGGCUAGGGGGCCAUCCCGGCUUACCAACCCGAUGCAAACUGCGAAUACCGGAGAAUGUUAUCACGGGAGACACACGGCGGGUGCUAAUGUCCGUCGUGAAGAGGGAAACAACCCAGACCGCCAGCUAAGGUCCCAAAGUCAUGGUUAAGUGGGAAACGAUGUGGGAAGGCCCAGACAGCCAGGAUGUUGGCUUAGAAGCAGCCAUCAUUUAAAGAAAGCGUAAUAGCUCACUGGUCGAGUCGGCCUGCGCGGAAGAUGUAACGGGGCUAAACCAUGCACCGAAGCUGCGGCAGCGACACCGUGUGUUGUUGGGUAGGGG
rnacentral:rRNA from 1 species